rnacentral:rRNA from 1 species
UUGGUUAAGCUAAUAAGUGCGCACGGAGGAUGCCUAGGCGCCAGGAGCCGAAGAAGGACGCGACGAACAGCGAUAUGCUUCGGGGAGCUGUAAGUGAGCUUUGAUCCGGAGAUUUCCGAAUGGGGAAACCCAGCUACCGUAAUGGGUAGUUACCCUCGAGUGAAUACAUAGCUCGUUGGAGGCACACCAGGGGAACUGAAACAUCUAAGUACCCUGAGGAACAGAAAACAAUAGUGAUUCCGUCAGUAGCGGCGAGCGAAAGCGGAGAAGCCCAAACCUAAGAGCUUGCUCUUAGGGGUUGUAGGACGUCUCACACGGAGUAAGAAAAGAGAAGAUUAAGCGAAGAGGUCUGGAAAGGCCCGUCACAGAAGGUAAAAACCCUGUAGCUGAAAAUCUUCUCUCUCCGAGACGGAUCCUGAGUACCGCGGGACACGAGAAACCCCGUGGGAAUCCGGCAGGACCAUCUGCCAAGGCUAAAUACUACCUGGCGACCGAUAGUGAAGCAGUACCGUGAGGGAAAGGUGAAAAGCACCGCGGGAGCGGAGUGAAAAAGAACCUGAAACCGUGCGCUUACAAGAAGUCAGAGCCCGAUCUAGGGGUGAUGGCGUGCCUUUUGUAGAAUGAACCGGCGAGUUACGUUCACGUGCAAGGUUAAGCUGAUGAGGCGGAGCCGAAGGGAAACCGAGUCUGAAUAGGGCGCCUAAGUACGUGGUCGUAGACCCGAAACCGUGUGAUCUACCCCUGUGCAGGGUGAAGGUGAGGUAACACUCACUGGAGGCCCGAACUCGUGAGCGUUGAAAAGCUCUGGGAUGACGUGGGGGUAGGGGAGAAAUUCCAAUCGAACUCGGAGAUAGCUGGUUCUCCCCGAAAUAGCUUUAGGGCUAGCCUCGAGGUGAAGCAUCAUGGAGGUAGAGCACUGAUUGGGUGCGGGGCCCGCCAAGGGUUACCAAGUCCAGUCAAACUCCGAAUGCCAUGUAUGUAUACUCGGGAGUCAGACGGCGAGUGCUAAGAUCCGUCGUCAAGAGGGAAAGAGCCCAGAUCAUCAGCUAAGGUCCCCAAGUGUGUGUUAAGUGGGAAAGGAUGUGGAGUUGCGAAGACAACCAGGAUGUUGGCUUAGAAGCAGCCACCAUUUAAAGAGUGCGUAAUAGCUCACUGGUCGAGUGACUCUGCGCCGAAAAUGUAACGGGGCUAAACACACCACCGAAGCUAUGGCAGACGCGCGCAAGCGCGCUUGGGUAGGGGAGCGUUGAAUGCGGGUUGAAGUCGUACCGGAAGGAACGGUGGACUGCAUUCAAGUGAGAAUGCCGGUAUGAGUAACGAAAAGACAGGUGAGAAUCCUGUCCGCCGAAAGCCUAAGGGUUCCUGGGGUAGGUUCGUCCGCCCAGGGUAAGUCGGGACCUAACGCGAGGCCGAAAGGCGUAGUGGAUGGACAACAGGUUGAAAUUCCUGUACCACCGUAAUCCGUUAUGAGCAAUGGGGGGACGCAGGAGGAGAACGACGCGAGCUGAUGGAAUAGCUCGUCCAAGCAGUGAGAGGUGUGUGUAGGCAAAUCCGCACACUAAUACCUCAAGCUGUGAUGGGGAGGGAAAAUCAUAGUACCGAAGGUCAUGUACCCACGCUGCCAAGAAAAGCCUCUAGCCAGGAGAAGGUGCCCGUACCGCAAACCGACACAGGUGGGCGAGAUGAGAAUUCUAAGGCGCGCGGAAGAACUCUCGUUAAGGAACUCGGCAAAAUGACCCCGUAACUUCGGGAGAAGGGGUGCCCCGGUAGUGUGAAUAGCACGAGGGGGCCGCAGUGAAGAGGCCCAAGCGACUGUUUAGCAAAAACACAGGUCUGUGCGAAGCCGUAAGGCGAAGUAUACGGGCUGACGCCUGCCCGGUGCUGGAAGGUUAAGAGGAGUGGUUAGGGGUAACCCGAAGCUAUGAAUUGAAGCCCCAGUAAACGGCGGCCGUAACUAUAACGGUCCUAAGGUAGCGAAAUUCCUUGUCAGGUAAAUUCUGACCCGCACGAAUGGCGUAACGACUUGGGCGCUGUCUCAACGAGAGAUCCGGUGAAAUUUUAGUACCUGUGAAGAUGCAGGUUACCCGCGACGUGACGGAAAGACCCCAUGGAGCUUUACUGUAGCUUGAUAUUGAACUUUGGUACGGUCUGUACAGGAUAGGUGGGAGCCUAUGAAGCAGGAGCGCAAGCUUCUGUGGAGGCGCCGUUGGGAUACCACCCUGAUCGUAUCGGAGUUCUAACCUACUACCCUGAUCGGGUAGAGGGACCGUGUCAGGCGGACAGUUUGACUGGGGCGGUCGCCUCCUAAAGAGUAACGGAGGCGCUCUAAGGUUCCCUCAGCGCGGUUGGAAAUCGCGCGCAGAGUGCAAAGGCAUAAGGGAGCUUGACUGCGAGACCUACAAGUCGAGCAGGGACGAAAGUCGGACUUAGUGAUCCGGUGGUACCGAAUGGAAGGGCCAUCGCUCAACGGAUAAAAGCUACCCUGGGGAUAACAGGCUUAUCUCCCCCAAGAGUCCACAUCGACGGGGAGGUUUGGCACCUCGAUGUCGGCUCAUCGCAUCCUGGGGCUGAAGUAGGUCCCAAGGGUUGGGCUGUUCGCCCAUUAAAGCGGUACGCGAGCUGGGUUCAGAACGUCGUGAGACAGUUCGGUCCCUAUCUGUCGCGGGCGUAGGAAAUUUGAGAGGGGCUGUCCUUAGUACGAGAGGACCGGGAUGGACGCACCGCUGGUGUACCAGUUGUUCCGCCAGGAGCACCGCUGGGUAGCCAAGUGCGGAAGGGAUAAGCGCUGAAAGCAUCUAAGCGCGAAGCCUGCCUCAAGAUGAGAUUUCCCAAUUCGUAAGACCCCUGGAAGAACACCAGGUUGAUAGGCCCGGGGUGGAAGCGCAGCAAUGUGUGGAGCUGACGGGUACUAAUCGGUCGAGGGCUUAUCCUA